GACGAACGCUGGCGGCGUGCUUAACACAUGCAAGUCGAACGGUGAAGCCCUUCGGGGUGGAUCAGUGGCGAACGGGUGAGUAACACGUGAGCAACCUGCCCCUGGCUCUGGGACAACCACUGGAAACGGUGGCUAAUACCGGAUACGACCCGCCUCGGCAUCGAGUGUGGGUGGAAAGUUUUUCGGCUGGGGAUGGGCUCGCGGCCUAUCAGCUUGUUGGUGAGGUGAAGGCUCACCAAGGCGACGACGGGUAGCCGGCCUGAGAGGGCGACCGGCCACACUGGGACUGAGACACGGCCCAGACUCCUACGGGAGGCAGCAAUGGGGAAUAUUGCACAAUGGGCGAAAGCCUGAUGCAGCGACGCCGCGUGAGGGAGGACGGCCUUCGGGUUGUAAACCUCUUUCAGCUCCGAAGAAGCGAAAGUGACGGUAGGAGCAGAAGAAGCACCGGCUAACUACGUG
rnacentral:rRNA from 1 species